GCCGGGGUGGUGAAAUGGUAGACACGCGGGACUCAAAAUCCCGUGAGCGCAAGCUUGUGAGGGUUCAACUCCCUCCCCCGGCACCA
rnacentral:tRNA from 1 species